rnacentral:rRNA from 1 species
CGGUGGAGCAUGUGGUUAAUCGAAGAUACGCGAAGAACCUUACCUGGCCUUGACAUUGAUAGAAUCCUGUAGAGAUACGGGAGUGCUAGCUUGCUAGAACUUGAAACAGGUGCUGCACGGGCUGUCGUCAGCUCGUGUCGUGAGAUGUUGGGUUAAGUCCCGCAACGAGCGCAACCCUCGUCAUUAGUUGCUAACAGUUCGGCUGAGAACUCUAAUGAGACUGCCUUCGUAAGGAGGAGGAAGGUGAGGACGACGUCAAGUCAUCAUGGCCCUUAUGGGUAGGGCUUCACACGUCAUACAAUGGUCGGUACAGAGGGUUGCCAAGCCGCGAGGCGGAGCCAAUCCCACAAAGCCGAUCGUAGUCCGGAUUGUUCUCUGCAACUCGAGAGCAUGAAGUCGGAAUCGCUAGUAAUCGCAGGUCAGCAUACUGCGGUGAAUACGUUCCCGGGUCUU